UCUUCCAAUCUCCCUCUUUUUCUUUACUCGGGGCUCUCAGUUCCUGCGAGUUCUGUGAGCCCCAGCAUGCUGGUUCUGCAAUAAACCCUUUGCUUUUGCAUGAGAACGUCUCUUGGUGUCCUCCAUUCCGCGGAUGCGCUUCUCUACCCUUUCA